AUACGGAAGGUCCGGGCGUUAUCCGGAUUUAUUGGGUUUAAAGGGAGCGCAGGCGGAGAUGCAAGCGUGACGUCAAAUUUCGGGGCUCAACCCCGUCUCGCGUCGCGAACUGCGUCCCUUGGUUGCGGGAAGGGGAGGCGGAACUCGUGGUGUGGCGGUGAAAUGCAUAGAUAUCACGAAGAAAUCCGAUCGCGAAGGCAGCCUUCCGGCCCGUCAACGACGCUCAUGCUCGAAGGUGCGGGUAUCAAACAGGAUUAGAUACCCUGGUAGUCCGCACAGUAAACGAUGGACACCCGCGGUUUGGCCUGUAUGGCUGAGCCGCCAAGCGAAAGCGUUAAGUGUCCCACCUGGGGAGUACGCCGGCAACGGUGAAACUCAAAUGAAUUGGCGGGG
rnacentral:rRNA from 1 species